AUUUUAAGCAUCAAAUAUAAAGAAUUUUUUCUUUUAUUAUAA
rnacentral:tRNA from 1 species